GACGAACGCUGGCGGCGUGCUUAACACAUGCAAGUCGAACGGAAAGGCCCUGCUUUUGUGGGGUGCUCGAGUGGCGAACGGGUGAGUAACACGUGAGUAACCUGUCCUUGACUUUGGGAUAACUUCAGGAAACUGGGGCUAAUACCGGAUAGGAGCUCCUGCUGCAUGGUGGGGGUUGGUAAGUUUCGGCGGUUGGGGAUGGACUCGCGGCUUAUCAGCUUGUUGGUGGGGUAGUGGCUUACCAAGGCUUUGACGGGUAGCCGGCCUGAGAGGGUGACCGGCCACAUUAGGACUGAGAUGCGGCCCAGACUCCUACGGGAGGCAGCGGUGGAGAAUAUUGCACAAUGGGCGGAAGCCUGAUGCAGCAACGCCGCGUGCGGGAUGACGGCCUUCGGGUUGUAAACCACUUUCGCCUGUGACGAAGCGUGAGUGACGGUAAUGGGUAAAGAAGCACCGGCUAACUACGUG
rnacentral:rRNA from 1 species